rnacentral:rRNA from 1 species
CCUACGGGGUGCAGCAGUGGGGAAUAUUGGACAAUGGGCGCAAGCCUGAUCCAGCCGUGCCGCGUGUGUGAAGAAGGCCCUAGGGUUGUAAAGCACUCUCAGUGGGGAGAAAAGUGAUUCACCUAAUACGUGAGUCAAUUGAUGUUACCCACAGAAGAAGCACCGGCUAACUCCGUGCCAGCAGCCGCGGUAAUACGGAGGGUGCAAGCGUUAAUCGGAAUUACUGGGCGUAAAGCGCACGUAGGUGGUUUGUUAAGCUAGCUGUGAAAUCCCCGGGCUCAACCUGGGCACUGCAGUUAGAACUGGCAAGCUAGAGUAGGGUAGAGGGGUGUGGAAUUCCAGGUGUAGCGGUGAAAUGCGUAGAUAUCUGGAGGAACAUCAGUGGCGAAGGCGACACCCUGGACUCAUACUGACACUGAGGUGCGAGAGCGUGGGGAGCAAACAGGAUUAGAUA